UAUGGGCUGAGUUGGUAUUAUAUACCCUUUAAUCUCUAUUCGGCUUAACAAUCAUAACAUCACAGCUCUCUAUUGGGUGGGAACGAAGAGGAAGGAGUGAGCAAUAGGUUAAGGUCAGUGGAGAAGGGCAGUACAACAAGUAGGUUAAUCAGCGGGUUUAAGAGUUACAAGGAGAGUGUCGUCUUGCGGGGUUUUGAUAUCAUCAUUGAAGAUCGUGUUAACCGUUGUGGUGGAUCCUUUGGACGUUGCUAGCUUUAAAUACUAGUCCAGGUAAUCAGGGGUGAUAUGGGACGAGUGAGAGUGACACAAAGACUUUGGAGGCUCUUAGAGAUUACGUUUUUAUUUCAGUAUUAUUAGUAACUUUAGACCUUCUUAAUCUUUUGAGAAUAAAUCAUGUUGGAGGAUUUGAACCCUAGGCUGCUUGGAAACUUAUUUAUUUAUCGUAAUUCAAGACCUUUUUAGUA